GAUGAACGCUGGCGGCGUGCCUAAUACAUGCAAGUCGAGCGAACGGACGAGAAGCUUGCUUCUCUGAUGUUAGCGGCGGACGGGUGAGUAACACGUGGAUAACCUACCUAUAAGACUGGGAUAACUUCGGGAAACCGGAGCUAAUACCGGAUAAUAUUUUGAACCGCAUGGUUCAAAAGUGAAAGACGGUCUUGCUGUCACUUAUAGAUGGAUCCGCGCUGCAUUAGCUAGUUGGUAAGGUAACGGCUUACCAAGGCAACGAUGCAUAGCCGACCUGAGAGGGUGAUCGGCCACACGGGAGCUGAGACACGGUCCAGACUCCUAAGGGAGGCAGCAGUAGGGAAUCUGCCGCAAUGGGCGAAAGCCUGACGGAGCAACGCCGCGUGAGUGAUGAAGGUCUUCGGAUCGUAAAACUCUGUUAUUAGGGAAGAACAUAUGUGUAAGUAACUGUGCACAUCUUGACGGUACCUAAUCAGAAAGCCACGGCUAACUACGUG
rnacentral:rRNA from 1 species